rnacentral:rRNA from 1 species
UACGUAGGCAGCGAGCGUUGUUCGGAGUUACUGGGCGUAAGAGUGCGUAGGCGGUGUUCCAAGUCUGUUGUGAAAUCUCCACGCUCAACGUGGAGGGCCAUUCGAAACUGCCGUGACUCGAGUCCGGUAGGGGAGUGGUAGGUCAAUUCCGGUGUAGCGGUGAAAUGCGCAGAUAUCGGGAGGAACACCAGUAGCGGAAGGCGGCA